CAGUCGCCACGGUAAUACGUAGGCGGCAAGCGUUGUCCGGAAUUAUUGGGCGUAAAGGGCUCGCAGGCGGUUUCUUAAGUCUGACGUGAAAGCCCCCGGCUCAACCGGGGAGGGUCAUUGGGAACUGGGAAACUUGAGUGCAGAAGAGGAGAGUGGAAUUCCACGUGUAGCGGUGAAAUGCGUAGAGAUGUGGAGGAACACCAGUGGCGAAGGCGACUCUCUGGUCUGUAACUGACGCUGAGGAGCGAAAGCGUGGGGAGCGAACAGGAUUAGAUACCCCGGUAGUCCCUGUCUCUUAUAC
rnacentral:rRNA from 1 species